rnacentral:lncRNA from 1 species
GACGCACUUCGCCGCCGGCCGACGGGCGCCAUUGUGCGGCGCGCGCCGGGUGAGUGCCGCGCGAAACCUGCGUCCGUCGGGGGCUGCGCUGGGCGGGUCCAGAACCGUUAGUUGGGGGCGAGCGCGGCCUCUGCAUUUUCCGCCGAGCUCGGGUACCCUGAGCCGGCCGUGCCUGCAGUCCUCCCGCCGCUCUGUGGGAUGGGGUCGGUGACCCGGAACCCCGAGGGGAGACAGUGCUUUCGGGGCGCCGCGGUGGAGAGAACAGAUCGCCUCCGGAAGCGUGGGGUCUGGGCCAGGGAGGCGAUCCCCUCCGAUGCGCGGGACAGAGGAGGCUCGGUGUCCUCUCGGGGAGGGGAAAACUGGUCCUAUCCAGUCCUGUGGGAGUCCUAUGACUCACUCUGGGCGUUUUCCAGUUUGGGUGGACUUGUCAUUUCCCGCUGAGGGAGCCGUUCCUGGGCGGAGGCUGCGGUAGCUCCCCAGCGGACACCUUAAGCCUCUCCCUCCCCUCCCAACUUCGGUUUCCUCAGGACUCUGCCCACUUCCACCAGAGACACAUUGAGAAGGAGGAAACUAUGGCCUCCAGGCUUCCGACGGCCUGGUCCUGUGUGAGUAGAGGCUUCCUUCAGCUUUUGAGUCCGCUACUGCACCUGGGAGGAUGCGGAUGGUGGUGAGAUACCACCUUCCCUGAGAUACCCCCAUCCUCCAGAGCACCUCGGGGAGGGGGUAGAGAUUGGUUGGGCAUGAGAGAUCCUGCGUGAUGGUGGAACCGCAGGUUGCUUGGUUUUCCAAGGGUGUAGUUAGAAUAGAGACCAGAUUGUAGGGGCUUCUGAAGGCCAGGUUAAGGCUCUUGCUUGUAUCCUUUAUAUUGGGAAGAGUAAUUGACAGGUCUUUUGUUUGUUUGUUUUUUGUUUUUUGAGAUGGAGUCUCCCUCUGUCGCCCAGGCUGGAGUGCAGUGGCGCGAUCUUGGCUCACUGCAACCUCCGCCUCCUGGGUUCAAGUGAUUCUCCUGCCUCAGCCUCCCCGAGUAGCUGGGACUACAGGCGUGUGCCACCAUACCCAGCUAAUUUUUUUUUUAUUUUUAUUUUUUGUGUGUGUUUUUUGUGGAGACGGGGUUUCACCAUGUUGGCCAGGCUGGUCUGGAACUCUUGACCUAAGGUGAUCCGACCAUCUCGGCCUCCCAAAGGUCUAUGCAGGGAUCAGGCUUAUGUUUAGAUUUCAGCAGAUAAAUUGGCAUCAAGCAAGAGGUGACAGCAGCAGAGUUCAAUAACAAGUAGAAAAGACAGGUGAGGAUGGAUCCCUGACAGGUGAAGGAGAUAGAAAGAAGCAUCAGGGCCCUGGGUAGGGGCUGACGGCUUGGGUGUGAUGGUGCAGCUCAGAGAAUUCCCUAGGAGGCAUACGCACCACUCCCAAAGUCAGAAUUUUCAAAUGAAUAAGAAAUAGGGGGCCGGGCGCGAUUUUCAUAUGCUACAGAGAUCUCAUGUGUUGCUCUCCUUAUUGUAACCUGAAUAGAGUCAAGCUUGGGUUUGCUUGGGGUUUCAGACAAAGACAGGAACUCAGGAUGAGACUCCCAAAAUGCCCUUGGGUCAUCUUGUAGACCAUUCUGUGCUUUCACUGGCCUGGUCAGCCUCCCCUGUCUUUCUUUUGUCGUGGAUGCGGAUGGCCUGUGGCUGAACAAGAAUCUGGAUUUUUAGGAACCAGUGACCUUUGAAGAUGUAACACUGGGUUUUACCCCGGAAGAGUGGGGACUGCUGGACCUCAAACAGAAGUCCCUGUACAGGGAAGUGAUGCUGGAGAACUACAGGAACCUGGUCUCAGUGGGUAAGGCUGGCCUCCAGGUCAAGAAGGAUCUGUGCUUUGUAGCACAAAUGUAGCACCUCUGAAGUAUGUGUCUGCUUGGGCUCACACUGCAGGGGCACCAGUAGGAAAAGGGCAGCUUUUCAGUAUGACUUCUGAAUCAUUGCCUAGUCCAUCCCUCCCUGAAUACCAGGGAGAUGGGUCUGUCAGGGAUGUUUUCAGCUGCAGUAGUGGAUGCUUAUUGUUCUUGCAACAAGAGUUCCGGCCAGGCAUGGUGGCUCACUUUAGGAGACUGAAGCAGGAGGAUUGCUUGAGCCCAGGAGUUUGAGACCAGCAUGGGCAACAUAGACCGUGUCUCUAUU